rnacentral:rRNA from 1 species
UACGUAGGGUGCAAGCGUUGUCCGGAAUUAUUGGGCGUAAAGAGCUCGUAGGCGGUCUGUCACGUCGGCUGUGAAAACCCGAGGCUCAACCUCGGGCCUGCAGUCGAUACGGGCAAACUAGAGUACUGCAGGGGAGACUGGAAUUCCUGGUGUAGCGGUGAAAUGCGCAGAUAUCAGGAGGAACACCGGUGGCGAAGGCGGCGAUCUGGGUAGAUACUGACGCUGAGGUGCGAAAGCGUGGGGAGCAAACAGG